GAAUGUGAGAAGAUGCAACCUGAGUUAUAAAUGUGCUGCUAUUACUAAUUCUCGCAUGUCCGUGAUUGGCCCACGUCUUUUCCGGGUACAGAAUCUGCAGAACUGAGCCUGUUCUAAUACGAGUUCAGAACCUACAUCAGUUUUAUAUGUGCUUUGUUUAGUGUCUGUGAUUUGAACUUGUGCAAGCAAUUGAAAUUUUCUUGAAC
rnacentral:misc_RNA from 1 species